AAGGAUGACGGGCCUGUCUAAUUGCAGGAAAACAAACUCAGGGCUCCCACUGAUUCUACAUUACGGAGGAUCUCAUUUCUGUACCCUGCCCUGGAAGUUGGCAAAAAAUAAAUACCUGGAGUGGGAUUGCUAGAUCACAUGGAAAACACAGAUCCUGGUGCCGAACAUGAGGACAGGGCAGGCCGAAGGAGAAAGUGGAAGGAGGGGAGCUUCUCUCUCAGCCUCAUCCUUCUGGGCCUGGAUGCUGGAGAGUCAUGAGGUGCUUCAGAGUACUCUGGGUGAGGAGGGAAAGAUGGUGCCCACCACAUGGAGGCCAGCCUAGGUCUUGUAUGAAACCUGUGAGCUAGCUGAAAGCAGAGAACCCAGCAGAGGAUUCUGGGAAGGUCCUGGGGGAUGGCAGAGCCAGCAGAGAGAGGGUAUGGAUCCACCAGGCAUAGGAUGGAACAGAGCACUAUUGACCACAGUGAACUGGGGCAUGGGCAAUCAAUAAACACAUAUUAGAUUAA
ensembl:lncRNA ZBED3-AS1 ZBED3 antisense RNA 1